rnacentral:tRNA from 1 species
GGGAAUAUAGCUCAGUGGUAGAGCACAUGCUUAGCACGCAUGAGGUUCAAUCCCC